rnacentral:rRNA from 1 species
GAUUGCCUCAGUAACGGCGAGUGAAGCGGCAAAAGCUCAAAUUUUAAAGCUGGCACCUUCGGUGUCCGCGUUGUAAUUUUGUGAGGCAUCUCCGGGUAGGGCGCCGGCCUAAGUUCCUUGGAACGAAACGUCAUAGAGGGUGAGAAUCCCGUGCUUGGCUGGCUGUCCCCGUCCAUGUGAGGUGUCUUCGACGAGUCGAGUUGUUUGGGAAUGCAGCUCAAAAUGGGUGGUAAAUUUCAUCUAAAGCUAAAUAUUGGUGGGAGACCGAUAGCGCACAAGUAGAGUGAUCGAAAGAUGAAAAGCACUUUGAAAAUAGAGUUAAAAAGUACGUGAAAUUGUUGAAAGGGAAGCGCUUGAGACCAGACUUCGGUGGGGGGUGAUCAGCUGUCCUUCUGGGCGGUGCACUUGCUCCCCUCCGGGCCAGCAUCGGUUGGGGCGGCGGGAUAAAGAUCACGGGAAUGUGGCUCCUUUCGGGGAGUGUUAUAGCCCGGGUGAAUGCCGCCAGCUCCGACCGAGGACCGCGCCUUCGGGCUAGGAUG